rnacentral:ncRNA from 1 species
UGCAUCUGGAAAGAGACGCUGGCCGGGCCUGAUCCCGGGAGGCGUCCGCCGACGGGAUAAUACUCUCAGGCACAGCGACAGAUGGGGCUUC